AGCUGAUGUGCUGAGUGAAGAAGCGAUACUGAAAUGGUACAAAGAAGCGCAUGUUGCCAAAGGCAAAAGUGUUUUUCUUGACCAGAUGAAGAAAUUUGUUGAGUGGUUACAAAACGCAGAAGAAGAAUCUGAAUCUGAAGGUGAAGAAAAUUAGAGGGCUCAAGAAGCACAAUACCUAGGUCACCACACAACACUCUUACUGGGAAUGCUGAACCAUUUGAGAAGAGAAACUUGGCUUCUGUUUUCACAAAGGAAAAAAAAAAUAGGUUAGGCUUCCCUUGUGCAGAGGGGGAAAUGGUUUUUGUUUUUGUUUUGUUUUUAAAUGGAGCCCUGAGGCAUCAGCUAUUAUACUUGGGACUCUACCUCUCAUUCACUAUAUGCUAACUUAAAGCCAUUCAACAGGGAGUCCAGUAGGUGUCUGAAAUUAAAUACUCCACAGACUCCUCCUCUUUUUUAGCUGUAUUUUUCAGGUACUGUGUGGUGAAUGCCCCACUGGUGUCUAUUACAGGGCCACUUUGGUAGUUGUGUAUCUGCUCGUGUAUGUGAUUUGACAAACAGUUUUUUAAAAUAAAUGGCUUUUUA